rnacentral:rRNA from 1 species
AACGAACGCUGGCGGCAUGCCUAACACAUGCAAGUCGAACGAGACCUUCGGGCCUAGUGGCGCACGGGUGCGUAACGCGUGGGAACCUGCCCUUAGGUUCGGAAUAACUCCCCGAAAGGGGUGCUAAUACCGGAUAAUGUCUUCGGACCAAAGAUUUAUCGCCUUUGGAUGGGCCCGCGUUGGAUUAGCUAGUUGGUAGGGUAAAAGCCUACCAAGGCGACGAUCCAUAGCUGGUCUGAGAGGAUGAUCAGCCACACUGGGACUGAGACACGGCCCAGACUCCUACGGGAGGCAGCAGUGGGGAAUAUUGGACAAUGGGCGAAAGCCUGAUCCAGCAAUGCCGCGGGAGUGAUGAGGGCCUUAGGGUUGUAAAGCUCUUUUACCCGGGAUGAUAAUGACAGUACCGGGAGAAUAAGCUCCGGCUAACUCCGU